UACGUAGGGUGCAAGCGUUAAUCGGAAUUACUGGGCGUAAAGCGUGCGCAGGCGGUUCGCUAAGACCGAUGUGAAAUCCCCGGGCUUAACCUGGGAACUGCAUUGGUGACUGGCGGGCUAGAGUAUGGUAGAGGGGGGUAGAAUUCCACGUGUAGCAGUGAAAUGCGUAGAGAUGUGGAGGAAUACCGAUGGCGAAGGCAGCCCCCUGGGCCAAUACUGACGCUCAUGCACGAAAGCGUGGGGAGCAAACAGG
rnacentral:rRNA from 1 species